ensembl:snoRNA
UGCAGGUUCAAGUCCCAUGUUAGGCAUAGAGAUUGCUUUUAAAAAAUUAAAUCUUGCAAAAAAUAAAUCCUCUUUUGCAACCCAGAACUCAUGGCUCAGUAUGAGUUUUGAUACAGAUAAGAAGGAACAAG